rnacentral:lncRNA from 1 species
AUUUUUCAUAUCAAAUAACAUAAUAAAAAUCAUAAACGCGCCUCGUAUACCAACACUGCAGGUACACGUAUAUAGGGAAACCAACUAUUUCUUCAUUAUUCUGAUUUUUUAUGUAUCGUCUGAGUUGUUGUCCCACGAAUGUUUACUCCAUAAACAUUUUGUUUUCUAUAUGUCAUAAUUUGCCGCAUUUGUUGCUUUCCCCACAUCCUUCCUUUAGUCUAUAUUAU